rnacentral:rRNA from 1 species
CCGAACUGAGAUCGAGUUUGACAGGAUUAGCUCCCCCUCGCGGGUUGGCAACCCAUUGUCUCGACCAUUGUAGCGUGUGUGUAGCCCAGGACGUAAGGGCCGUGCUGACUUGACGUCAUCCCCACCUUCCUCCACGUUUAGCGUGGCAGUCUCGCCGGACAUCCUAACCGACGACAGGGGUUGCGCUCGUUGCNNRGGACUUAACCCAACACCUCACGGCACGAGCUGACNACAGCCCGAA